CCAACACUUAGGAAAAAAAAUGUAACAUUUCCCUUUGUUAUACUGUUUGGACUUUGGAGACGGACAAACAAAAAAAAAGCUUAGACCCGAAAAACAACACUUCGCAGAUCUCUCUCCUCUCUUUCACCAUUUUCGCCGCCGUAACCUACGAUUCGCCUUAUCCAUUCUACGCCAUGGUCUUCUCAUCUCUCCGGGCCGCCAACACUUCCUCCGGCCACUGAAUCACCGUCGGAAGCUUCCUCGAUGAUUAAAACAACCGCAUCGACAUCUUCUCUUUCGAUUCCGAUUCGAUGACCGUGAAGCCUCUCUCGAAUCUCUCGUUCGAGCAUCCUUAUCUUCCAACGAAGCUAAUGUUCAGUCAUUCUUCUCUCUGUUAUCCUUCAUUCGGAGAUCUACUUGAUUCUUCUACCAUUGAGCAUUGAGCCUAUCUCAGUUCUCAACAAUAGCAAAACGAGCCUACUCUUCAGUGAGUUGUCUUAUGUGUCUCUUGUCUAUAUUUGUCCUUUUUAUGUCUCUUACCAACCUAGAACCUGAGUAGAUAUAACCUGUGAGAUUCUUAUUUACUCGUUUCUGUAUGGAAUGUGCUUGUGGCUAGUGAAUGCUAUUUGAUAUAUCCGGUCAUCUUUGUAGAAGAAAUUGUUUUUUAUAUUUUUUCUAUUGUUGAGAUAUCUCGAUCUCCAAUCUCAUAUUGAAAUUUUUAUCAAAUCAUGUGUUUCUAAUAACUGAUAAUCUGAAUUCAUUGGAUGUUGGAACAGAACAUUCAUAAUUGGUCCUUGUUGCAAAUAGUGUAUCUGAUUUUAACGAGAAGAGGCAAAUUAAACAUUAAUUUUUGCUCCUUGUUAAACUUUUCUUAGAUUGGCAAGUAAGAAAAAUUUGCAGGUCUGCUAAAGCUUUGUAGUUUAGCUGUGCUUGUUUGUUUUUAGCUGCUAAAGUUGAAGAGAUAUUCGUUUCUCUCUCCGCAACCACUAGAAGAGUCUAAGCCUCUCUCACAUGCGUCAAGAGAAGACAUAACAUUCCAUGUGCGUUGAUGAGCAGCUCCACUGUCCUAAAAGCUGGAAUCAAUCACAAAGUUAUUAACUUUAUAGUCUCUUAUUUGUAAUGUCCAUUUCCUCUUCUAAACACACCACUUUAAAUUUCAUUUGACCUAUGAGUUUUAUGAAUGAUGUAACCUAAACACAACAACGAUAUUGCUCCCCCAUGAAGUUGCUACUUUUGGGACUGUAAGUCAUCCUGUAUUAUCGUGAGGCUGAGUUUCUAAUAAACUUGAGAUGGUGAGUAUUGAUGGCUGCAAGAAAGGUAUCUAACUUCUCUCAAUGCGGUCUGAUGUUCUUGAUGUUUACUUGUUUAAUUAUUGGUCAAAUUUCUAGUGAUAUUGUUCUUAUACUAGAGGCUAAAGUUUUGAAAAUUUCUGUUGGUCAAGUUCAGCUUAUUUCAGUUUCCAUUGGGUGGUAUUCACAGGCAACUCAAGUGCACACGGUAGAGUUGGUGCCACCGCUGCCGUUUGCUGAUUCAAUCCUUGAGUUUGUGACUGCAGAGGUUCUUGAGUUAGCUGGAAACGCUAGCAGAUAUCUGAAAGUGAAGAGUAUAACUCCAUGGCAUUUGCAGUUGGCCAUGAGAGGAUGUGGGAAUGAUAAGUUUAGGACAUGAUUCUGUCCACUAACACAUAGGAAUGAUAAGUUUAGGACAUGAUUCUGGUCAUGAAUCAUUUUUGUUUUCUCA